rnacentral:misc_RNA from 1 species
CAACCCUCGAGCCCCUGUGGCCCGGCGUUGGGGAUCUGCCACGGCAGGCCCCUAAAACCAGUGGCGGACCCGAUGGGCCCUCUCCUUUACGUAGUAGCAUUCGCCUCGUAUUGGGAGUCCUCGGCGUCCUGCCUCUAAACCCCCCACAAGCCCGCUCCGGCGGCACCAA